CUCCUACGGGAGGCAGCAGUGGGGAAUUUUGGACAAUGGGGGCAACCCUGAUCCAGCAAUGCUGCGUGAGUGAAGAAGGCCUUCGGGUUGUAAAGCUCUUUUGUCCGGGAAGAAAUCCCAUCCUUGAAUACGGGAUGGGGAUGACGGUACUGGAAGAAUAAGCACCGGCUAACUACAUGCCAGCAGCCGCGGUAAUACGUAGGGUGCGAGCGUUAAUCGGAAUUACUGGGCGUAAAGCGUGCGCAGGCGGUUGUGCAAGACCGAUGUGAAAUCCCCGGGCUUAACCUGGGAACUGCAUUGGUGACUGCACGGCUAGAGUGUGUCAGAGGGGGGUAGGAUUCCACGUGUAGCAGUGAAAUGCGUAGAGAUGUGGAGGAAUACCGAUGGCGAAGGCAGCCCCCUGGGAUAACACUGACGCUCAUGCACGAAAGCGUGGGGAGCAAACAGGAUUAGAUACCCUGGUAGUCCACGCCCUAAACGAUGUCAACUAGUUGUCGGGGAUUAAUUUCCUUGGUAACGCAGCUAACGCGUGAAGUUGACCGCCUGAGGAGUACGGUCGCAAGAUUAAAACUCAAAGGAAUUGACGG
rnacentral:rRNA from 1 species